GGGCAGCAUUUCAGUUUGCUUGCAAACUGGAGAUGGCGACCGGCGCACGGGUGAGUAACACGUAUCCAACCUGCCGAUAACUCGGGGAUAGCCUUUCGAAAGAAAGAUUAAUACCCGAUGGUAUAAUCAGACCGCAUGGUCUUGUUAUUAAAGAAUUUCGGUUAUCGAUGGGGAUGCGUUCCAUUAGGCAGUUGGUGAGGUAACGGCUCACCAAACCUUCGAUGGAUAGGGGUUCUGAGAGGAAGGUCCCCCACAUUGGAACUGAGACACGGUCCAAACUCCUACGGGAGGCAGCAGUGAGGAAUAUUGGUCAAUGGGCGCAGGCCUGAACCAGCCAAGUAGCGUGAAGGAUGACUGCCCUAUGGGUUGUAAACUUCUUUUAUAUGGGAAUAAAGUUUUCCACGUGUGGAAUUUUGUAUGUACCAUAUGAAUAAGGAUCGGCUAACUCCGUGCCAGCAGCCGCGGUAAUACGGAGGAUCCGAGCGUUAUCCGGAUUUAUUGGGUUUAAAGGGAGCGUAGGUGGACAGUUAAGUCAGUUGUGAAAGUUUGCGGCUCAACCGUAAAAUUGCAGUUGAUACUGGCUGUCUUGAGUACAGUAGAGGUGGGCGGAAUUCGUGGUGUAGCGGUGAAAUGCUUAGAUAUCACGAAGAACUCCGAUUGCGAAGGCAGCUCACUGGACUGCAGCUGACACUGAUGCUCGA
rnacentral:rRNA from 1 species